rnacentral:rRNA from 1 species
CGUGUAGGCGGCUGCGUGUGUCGGGCGUGAAAUCCCAUGGCUCAACCAUGGAAGUGCACCCGAAACUGCGCAGCUAGAGUCCUGGAGAGGAAGGUGGAAUGCUUGGUGUAGAGGUGAAAUUCGUAGAUAUCAAGCGGAACACCGGUGGCGAAGGCGGCCUUCUGGACAGUGACUGACGCUGAGACGCGAAAGCGUGGGGAGCAAACA